UGGGGAAUAUUGCACAAUGGGCGCAAGCCUGAUGCAGCCAUGCCGCGUGUAUGAAGAAGGCCUUCGGGUUGUAAAGUACUUUCAGCGGGGAGGAAGGGAGUAAAGUUAACACCUUUGCUCAUUGACGUUACCCGCAGAAGAAGCACCGGCUAACUCCGUGCCAGCAGCCGCGGCAAUACGGAGGGUGCAAGCGUUAAUCGGAAUUACUGGGCGUAAAGCGCACGCAGGCGGUUUGUUAAGUCAGAUGUGAAAUCCCCGGGCUCAACCUGGAAACUGCAUCUGAUACUGGCAAGCUUGAGUCUCGUAGAGGGGGGUAGAAUUCCAGGUGUAGCGGUGAAAUGCGUAGAGAUCUGGAGGAAUACCGGUGGCGAAGGCGGCCCCCUGGACGGAGACUGACGCUCAGGUGCGAAAGCGUGGGGAGCAAACAGG
rnacentral:rRNA from 1 species